CAGUCGCCACGGUAAUACGAAGGGGGCUAGCGUUGUUCGGAAUUACUGGGCGUAAAGCGCACGUAGGCGGAUAUUUAAGUCAGGGGUGAAAUCCCUGAGCUCAACUCUGGAACUGCCUUUGAUACUGGGUAUCUUGAGUAUGGAAGAGGUGAGUGGAAUUCCGAGUGUAGAGGUGAAAUUCGUAGAUAUUCGGAGGAACACCAGUGGCGAAGGCGGCUCACUGGUCCAUUACUGACGCUGAGGCACGAAAGCGUGGGGAGCAAACAGGAUUAGAUACCCCUGUAGUCCCUGUCUCUUAUAC
rnacentral:rRNA from 1 species